GGUAGCGCAAGGCGCAACUGCUUUGUAAGCGGUAGGCCGCGGUUUCGAUUCCCGCCC
rnacentral:tRNA from 1 species